UUCCAUAAAACUAACUCUCAACAGUUCUUACAGUUCUUAUAUUUUCCUUUUAGUAUUGUAUAUGAUUACAUUCAACAGUUCUUACAGAAAAACUUCCGUAAAACUCUCAAAAACUUUUCAUAAAAACAAGUGAGAAGAUACAAAACUAUCAACGCAGAACUGCAUACACGAGACAGAGCCAUGAGAGAGAAGCAUCACCCUCUCUCUCUCCUCCCUUUCUCCUCAACAUUGUACAUAAGGGAACUAUCUCUCCUAGUCAGCAUCGCCCAAGACACUCCUCUCUCUCAGCAUCGCCCCAAGACUUUCUCUCCUCCCAGAAUCGCCCACAAGACCUUCUCUCUCUCCCCAGCAUCUCCCAUUACUCUCACAAGAUUCUCAGCAUCAUCCUUGACUCCCUCUCACUGCUUAGCAUCGCCCACAAGACCCUCUCUCUCUUUCGAGCAUCACCCAUUACUCUCCCAAGCUUCUCAACAUCGCCCAUGACCUUCCCUCACUCUUUAGCAUCACCCAUUACACCUCAUCAUUGCCAACUCCUCGGUUCAUCAUGUCCUUGCUUUAAUCUCGUCUGAAAUGUUCUUCAUUUUUUCACAAUCAUAGUUUCUAUUAAGAUUUUACGGAGAAAACAAGAAAUUCUCGAUUUUCCCUAAAAUCUAGCCAGAUGUAGAGACGUUAACGGUUAAGUCAAACACCAAAUAUGUUUUUGAUAAAUUGAAAUGAUUUUUAUCAUUUUGUAACAUAACGACACAAAAAACACAAUUCGAGCAA
rnacentral:lncRNA from 1 species